rnacentral:ncRNA from 1 species
AUAUCGCGCAAACAGGUCUUUGCUUCCUGCACGGUGCACGCCGCGGGAAGCGAAGUUAAAAGGGAAGUUUGGUGAAAAUCCAACGCGGUCCCGCCACUGUAAGAGAGGAGUUUUCCUUCAAGGCAUUUUGCCAUCCACUGCCCCGGGUCGGGGACGGGAAGGAGAAGGAAAGCAGCGAUUCUCGAGCCAGGAGACCUGCCUGUCUUGCCUGAGCACU